rnacentral:rRNA from 1 species
GGACGGGUGAGUAACGCGUGGAUAACCUGCCUCAUACAGGGGGAUAACAGUUAGAAAUGACUGCUAAUACCGCAUAAGCGCACAGGACCGCAUGGUCCGGUGUGAAAAACUCCGGUGGUAUGGGAUGGAUCCGCGUCUGAUUAGCUGGUUGGUGAGGUAACGGCCCACCAAGGCGACGAUCAGUAACCGACCUGAGAGGGUGGCCGGCCACAUUGGGACUGAGACACGGCCCAAACUCCUACGGGAGGCAGCAGUGGGGAAUAUUGCACAAUGGGGGAAACCCUGAUGCAGCAACGCCGCGUGAGUGAAGAAGUAUUUCGGUAUGUAAAGCUCUAUCAGCAGGGAAGAAGAAAGACGGUACCUGACUAAGAAGCCCCGGCUAACUACGUGCCAGCAGCCGCGGUAAUACGUAGGGGGCAAGCGUUAUCCGGAUUUACUGGGUGUAAAGGGAGCGUAGACGGCUGUGCAAGUCUGAAGUGAAAGCCCGUGGCUCAACCGCGGAACUGCUUUGGAAACUGUAUAGCUUGAGUACUGGAGAGGCAGGCGGAAUUCCUAGUGUAGCGGUGAAAUGCGUAGAUAUUAGGAGGAAUACCAGUGGCGAAGGCGGCCUGCUGGACAGAAACUGACGUUGAGGCUCGAAAGCGUGGGGAGCAAACAGGAUUAGAUACCCUGGUAGUCCACGCGGUAAAC